UAGUGUUGCGAAUAUCUUCAAACAUAAUCCCCAGCUGGUCCUCAUUUUGAAUGCCCUUAUUCUUAAAUCUGUUAGCUCCCUUUAUAGCUUGCAAUGAAAUAAAAGAAUGGUUUAUCACAUAACUAUCAUAAGCUAUUAGUGCCUGAAAAGAGGCAAAAAAUGCAAGCAUAACAAUAUUUGUAUGAGUUGCAUCCCAUCCAAUGCCCAUCUCCUUAUUUAUCAAUUUCUUCCAAAUAACAUAAUCAGUUUUCAACCUAUCCUAUUUAUUUUUGAAUUGUUUUCUAUUGUACUCAAUCCCAGUCCUCUGUUUGAACUUUUCCAUUACAUUCUUAUACCCAGCC
rnacentral:lncRNA from 1 species